GCGGGGAUGCCGGAGCGGUCAAACGGGCCGCGUUAAGGCCGCGGUGGCUUAGUGCCUGCGAAGGUUCGAAUCCUUCUCCCCGCA
rnacentral:tRNA from 3 species